rnacentral:lncRNA from 1 species
AUUAACUGAUGCAGAUCAUAAUGAUUAACAGGAACAUUAUUGAGUAAAGAAAAGUGAUCAAGGGCACAACUUGCCUUCAACGAGCUCCUAUUCAGUAUUUUCUACCUGUUGAGUACCGAGAUCCUCGGGUGCUUGCUCGUCUACUCGCAAUAAUACAAACAUACAUGGUAUAGGAGAAAUUAGCAUUACAGCAAACAUAAGAACAUACUGCACAAUAAUGUUCUAUGUAUCGUAACGAGAUCGUAGGUUCGAGAACCACUAAAUUCGUAGUUACGGUUAAAGAGUUAUGAGUUUCUGAAGGUUUAGGUGUUGGACAUGAACAAACUAAGUGCAUAAUUUAAACAAUAUGUUUCAUAACAAAAUGAGGUUACUACAUGAUAAACAAUAUUAAUAUGAAUUUAAUGAAAUUGGAAUGGAUCAAAAAAGGAUUAAAAUGAAUUACUUAUAAAUUAAACAAGAUUAUGAAAUUAUUUCUAUACUAGAAAUCAUUUUUUAAAAUUGUGAAUACCUCUGAUAACUCUGGACUGCGGACACAAAUACUAGGGGGUUCAGGGUUCAAAUCGAAAAACAUAGGAGCUAUCUGUGGUACUUCUACUCUGUGCGUGGACUGUGGGUUCUUUUUGGAAACUCUAGGGGUUUCUAUGCAAAUUUUCCACCGCGAAAGGGUAUGGGCAAACCUGAUCCAUAUGAUCACCCCUGGACAGUCCCGAUCAUAUCACAUAUAAACGAAUCGGUACACGGUUUGGGUCCCUCGGAUCCCGAUCCAACGACCAUAGUUUUAUUAAGUCGGAUAUACGCUCUCACCCCUCGGAUCUAGAUCUAACGGCUUUCAAGCACCCGGGCAAACGGGUACGGCCAUGGCCAAUCUGAGCCAUUGCCCACAAGAUUAAUGCUCCGGAUGCAAACACUGGAUCGGUAUGACAUGGCUCGAUCCCGAUCGUGUAUCUCGGAUCCAACCACCAGGACCUGACUUCUUCCACAAGCCGUCCAGGCAACGGCACCGCCCCGACCCACAGUGGGGCCUCACCGGAGGCACCCGAAUCCCCACCCCAAGGCACCAAAACCUGAUCGGAAUGCUGCUACACGAUGUAUGGCACGUUGUGAGUGUGAGGGUGGGUAACACACCUGAUUCCACGACCAGGAGAAGGUCGCUCUGCAGCGCGCCGCGGCGUUCAUCGACAAUGAGGAAUCCAGACUCGAUCACAGGCUCCCUUCGCGUGUAGCCCACACGAGCGCACUCCACCUUCCUCCCAGCUCCUUUUGCCCUAGAUUCUGAAUGCCGAUCAGCGGUGAGGAUGGAGAAUCGAGGCGGCGGCCGAACUCCCUCCCUUGCCUGCUCUCUCUUCUCACGGCAUGGUGUUCUCAGUGAUGGUGGCUCCCAUGGUUUCCGGCUCGGGCAAUCAAGGGAAAAAUAUGACCAGGGUCGGGUCUAUAUCCCGGGUAGCCCCCCUUCAACGAAUUGCGUCGAUUUCCACGCG